UUUUUUAUACAAAAAAUGUUGGCCUACUGAGAAGUAUGUACAGUAUAUGCACUGAAUACUUGGUCAGGGCUCCUUUUCUAUGAAUUACUGCUUCAAUGCGGUGUGGCCUGGAGGCAAUCAGCCCGUGGCACUGCUGAGGUGUUGUGGAAGCCCAGGAUGCUACGGUAGAUAGAGGCCUUCAGCUUGUCUGGUGUGCUGGGUCUU